ACAGUCACACAUUAGAUACCCCCGUAGUCCCAGCCCUAGACGAUGCGCGUUAGGUGUAUCGGUGACCACGAGUCACCGAGGUGCCGAAGGGAAACCGUGAAACGUGCCGCCUGGGAAGUACGGUCGCAAGGCUGAAACUUAAAGGAAUUGGCGGGAGCACCACAACGGGUGGAGCCUGCGGUUUAAUUGGACUCAACGCCGGGAAGCUCACCGGAUAAGACAGCGGAAUGAUUGCCGGGCUGAAGACCCUGCAUGACCAGCUG
rnacentral:rRNA from 1 species